ensembl:snoRNA U3 Small nucleolar RNA U3
AAGACUAUACUUUCAGGGAUCAUUUCUAUAGUUCAUGACAUUCAGUGUAAAAACAAAAGCUAUGUGCUAAUGCGUAGC